rnacentral:lncRNA from 1 species
UUCUACGUAGACCCGUUAUACUACCGUAGAACCCGUUUACUGCGUAGCACCCGUUAUACUGCCGUAGCACCCGUUACUCCGUAGAACCCGUACACACCGUAACCCGUUACCUACCGCAGAACCAGUACACCGCAGAACGUUAUACUACCGUUAGAACCUGUUUUGCUAUCGACGUCAUUACUGCAGCGAUUUGAUAGUGACCUUCAGUGGUCUGUUGUGGUAGCUGAGUAAUGGAAGGAGGACCGACGGAUAUCUGUUAUACUAAUUCCAUCUUCAUGGAUGCUUCCAAAGUGUCACCCUGUCUGUGUUUAAUGUCAACAGUGGAUACUACUUAUGAUAUGGUGUGCCUCCCUCUAUAGUGGUACCCUGUGCCUCCCUCUAUAGUGGUACCCUGUUACCCUGUGUCUCCCUCUAUAGUGGUACCCUGUUACCCUGUGCCUCCCUCUAUAGUGGUACCCUGUUACCUGUGUCUCCCUCUAUAGUGGUACCAUGUUACCCUGUGUCUCCCUCUAUAGUGGUUUACCCUGUGCCUCCCUCUAUAGUGGUACCCUGUUACCCUGUGUCUCCCUCUAUAGUGGUCCCUGUUACCCUGUGCCCCUCUAUGGGUACUGUACCUGUGUUCCCCCUAGUGGUACCCUGUUCCUCUGUGCCUCCCUCUAUAGUGGUACCCUGUUACCCUGUGGUCUCCCUCUAUCUAUAGUGGUACCCUGUUACCCUGUGUCUCCCUCUAUAGUGGUACCCUGUUCCCCUGUGUCUCCUCUAUAGUGGUACCCUGUCCCUGUGUCUCCUUCAUAGUGGUACCCUG